rnacentral:rRNA from 1 species
CAGUAGCCGCGGUAAUACGAAGGGGGCUAGCGUUGUUCGGAUUUACUGGGCGUAAAGGGCGCGUAGGCGGACUGAUAAGUCAGGGGUGAAAUCCCAAGGCUCAACCUUGGAACUGCCCUUGAUACUGUUUGUCUUGAGUUCGAGAGAGGUAAGUGGAACUGCGAGUGUAGAGGUGAAAUUCGUAGAUAUUCGCAAGAACACCAGUGGCGAAGGCGGCUUACUGGCUCGAAACUGACGCUGAGGCGCGAAAGCGUGGGGAGCAAACAGGAUUAGAUACCCCUGUAGUCCCUGUCUCUUAUAC